rnacentral:rRNA from 1 species
CCUCAGAAAGCCAAUCUCAGUUCGGAUUGUAGGCUGCAACUCGCCUACAUGAAGUUGGAAUCGCUAGUAAUCGCGAAUCAGAAUGUCGCGGUGAAUACGUUCCCGGGUCUUGUACACACCGCCCGUCACACCACGAGAGUUUACAACACCCGAAGUCAGUGGCCUAACCGCAAGGAGGGAGCUGCCUAAGGUGGGGGUAGAUGAUUGGGGUGAAGUCGUAACAAGGUAAC